rnacentral:rRNA from 1 species
GACGAACGCUGGCGGCGUGCUUAACACAUGCAAGUCGAACGGUGAAGCGCCUUCCUUUUUGGUGGGUGUGGAUGAGCGGCGAACGGGUGAGUAAGACGUGAGUAACCUGCCCCCUCCUGCUGGAUAACCGCAUGAAAGUGUGGCUAAUACGGGAUAUUCUGGGUCUGUCGCAUGAUGGGUCUGGGAAAGAUAUUGUUUCGGUGGGGGAUGGGUCCGCGGCCUAUCAGCUUGUUGGUGGGGUGAUGGCCUACCAAGGCGGUGACGGGUAGCCGGCCUGAGAGGGUGGACGGCAACACUGGUGCUGAGACACGGACAAGACUCCUACAGGAGGCAGCAGUGGGGAAUACUGCACAAUGGGCGCAAGGCUGAUGCAGCGCCGCCGCGUGAGGGAUGGAGGCCUUAGGGUUGUGAACCUCUUUCGCCAGUGAAGCAGGCCUGCCUCGUUUGUGGGUGGGUUGACGGUAGCUGGAUAAGAAGCGCCGGCUAACUACGUG